rnacentral:rRNA from 1 species
AGCGAUGCCGCGUGAGUGAAGAAGGCCCUUGGGUUGUAAAGCUCUUUCGUCGGGGAAGAAAAUGACUGUACCCGAAUAAGAAGGUCCGGCUAACUUCGUGCCAGCAGCCGCGGUAAUACGAAGGGACCUAGCGUAGUUCGGAAUUACUGGGCUUAAAGAGUUCGUAGGUGGUUAAAAAAGUUGGUGGUGAAAUCCCAGAGCUUAACUCUGGAACUGCCAUCAAAACUUUUUAGCUAGAGUAUGAUAGAGGAAAGCAGAAUUUCUAGUGUAGAGGUGAAAUUCGUAGAUAUUAGAAAGAAUACCAAUUGCGAAGGCAGCUUUCUGGAUCAUUACUGACACUGAGGAACGAAAGCAUGGGUAGCGAAGAGGAUUAGAUACCCUCGUAGUCCAUGCCGUAAACGAUGUGUGUUAGAUGUUGGAAAUUUAUUUUC